rnacentral:rRNA from 1 species
GACGAACGCUGGCGGCGUGCUUAACACAUGCAAGUCGAGCGGAAUAUGAGAGCUUGCUCUUAUAUUUAGCGGCGGACGGGUGAGUAACGCGUGAGCAACCUGCCUUCGACUACGGGAUAACACUUAGAAAUAGGUGCUAAUACCGUAUAAGACCACACUCGGGCAUCCGAGAGGGGUAAAAGAUUUAUCGGUCGAAGAUGGGCUCGCGUCCCAUUAGCUAGUUGGUGAGGUAACGGCCCACCAAGGCUACGAUGGGUAGCCGACCUGAGAGGGUGAUCGGCCACAUUGGAACUGAGAUACGGUCCAA